rnacentral:rRNA from 1 species
CCUACGGGUGGCAGCAGUAGGGAAUCUUCGGCAAUGGGGGGAACCCUGACCGAGCAACGCCGCGUGAGUGAAGAAGGUUUUCGGAUCGUAAAGCUCUGUUGUUAAGGAAGAACGUGUGUGAGAGUGGAAAGUUCACACAGUGACGGUACUUAACCAGAAAGGGACGGCUAACUACGUGCCAGCAGCCGCGGUAAUACGUAGGUCCCGAGCGUUGUCCGGAUUUAUUGGGCGUAAAGCGAGCGCAGGCGGUUAGAUAAGUCUGAAGUGAAAGGCAGUGGCUCAACCAUUGUAGGCUUUGGAAACUGUUUAACUUGAGUGCAGAAGGGGAGAGUGGAAUUCCAUGUGUAGCGGUGAAAUGCGUAGAUAUAUGGAGGAACACCGGUGGCGAAAGCGGCUCUCUGGUCUGUAACUGACGCUGAGGCUCGAAAGCGUGGGGAGCGAACAGGAUUAGAUACCCCAGUAGUC